UAAACUCUCUUCCUCUCAGCCCCUUUAGGAUCUGGCCUAGCUCCGGUCAAUGGCCGUCGUGCCGACCGUAGGCCACCGGCAACGGCGCCGCCGUGCGCGGUGGCCGUGGAGCUCAAAACUCCCUCCUCUGAACCCCUUUUCACGUAGAAGAAGAUUUAGGACCUAGAAAACCAUAAACUAAACCCCAAAACCCUUUAAAAUAGCAAAAAAAAGUUCUGACUUUUGGCUUCCUCCGUCGAAGCUUUGACCGGAUCUUUAGGGAUCCAUCAGCCUUCGGACCAGAGAAGCGUGUGCCGAGGGUAUCAACGCCGAAAAUAGGUAAAAACUUUUCCUUUUGUAUAUCUUUAUACCAUAGAUUCGAAAUAAAAAAGAAUAAAUAACUAAGAUAAAAAAAAUGAAACCUUUGAAAUAUUACUUUGAUUAAUCUCUGUAUUGGUAGAUCUUUUUUCCUUUUUUUGUUUUUUUGAAAAAAAGUCCCCCUUUUUUACAUUCCAUUCGGUCUUUUUAAAAGUCGAUUUACAAAUCCCUAUUAUAUUAUUGUUUUCGCUACUGUUCUUGCUGCCUUGCUCUGCUCUUUUCUUUUUCUUUUGUUUACAGGUGUCAGAGGAGUUGGUGGUGGCAUGUGGGCAUCGGUUGCGCAGUGGUAGGCAUGCUGGCCUAGGAGCGGCGGCUGAAAGUUGGGGGGCUAGGGUUUGUCGGCUGAAGAGUUUUAGGAUUAGUUGGGUUAGGGUUUAGUUUUGGGCUUGGGUAUAUUGGGCUGAUUUGGUUUGAUAUUGGGCUUGGAUUUGUAAAAUGAACUUUUAACAAUUAUUGUUUUGUUUGUGUUGUUGGGCCCCGGGCAAAUUUGGGCCCGUACAGCUGCCCCUCUUUGCUUAUUGUCAUGUAACGGGAAUAGAGCAAAGACUAAAAAAAGGCCAAAUUUGUCGAGACCUGCCGAGUCUUGACUUCUUUUGGCACUUCUCUUCUUCAAGUAUCAUCAAUAUGCUCCACUGCAACUUCAAGAUUUACAAUCUUUAGCCUACUCCACUACAACUUUAGUGAGCUAGGACUUGCUUAAAUCUGCUUCACUGCAACUUCAGGAAGCCAAGAUUUAUCAUCUUCGAUUUGCCCCACUGCAACUUCAGGGAGACAAAAUUCACAAUCUCCAGCCUACUCCACUACAAUAUUAUGGAGUUAGGAUGAUGGUUUAAAUCUGCUUCACUGCAACUUCAGAAAGCCAAGAUUCGUCGUCUUUGAUUUGCCCCCACUGCGACUUCAGGGAGACAAGAUCUGUAAAUUUCAGCCUACUCCAUUACAACCUUAGGGAGCUAAGAUUCAUCGUCUUCGAUAUGUUCCACUGUAACUUCAGAGAAACAAGAUCUGCAAAUUUCAGCCUACUCCACUACAACUUUAGGGAGCUAGGAUGAUAGCUUGAAUCUGCUCCACUGCAACUUUAGAGAGCCAAGAUUCACUGAAAUUUCAAGGAUAUCUGAUGUGGCUUUUAGCCGCUCCAACGCCAUUUCAAGGAAAAAAAAGAUCCACUGAAACUUUAAGGAGAUCUGUUGUGGCUUUUAGCCGCUCCAACGCCAUUUCAGGGAGAAAAGAUCCACUGAAACUUCGAGGAGAUCUGCUGUGGCUUUUAGUUGCUCUAACACCAUUUCAAGGAGAAAAGAUCUGCUGAAACUUCAAGGAGAUCUGUUGUGGCUUCUAGCCGCUCCAACGCCAUUUUAGGGAAAAAGAUCCACUGAAACUUCAAGGAGAUCUGCUGUGGCUUUUAGCCGCUCCAACGCCAUUUCAGGGAGAACAGAUCGACUGAAACUUCAAGGAGAUCUGUUGUGGCUUCUAGCCACUCCAACGCCAUUUUAGGGAAAAAAGAUCCACUGAAACUUCAAGGAGAUCUGCUGUGGCUUUUAGUCGCUCCAACGCCAUUUCAGGGAAAAAAGAUCGACUGAAACUUCAAGGAGACCUGCUGUGGCUUUUAGCCGCUCCAACGCCAUUUCAGGGAGAAGAGAGUUAUAAUUUCCAACCUGUUACCCUACUGCGUAGGGGUUUAAGGCUUGUGAAUUCACCGAUUCUAGGGACAUGACCUGUAGAAUCAGUUCCAUGUAUCUAUGCUUAUGUCAAAUAAUUAGGAUUGCUAUGAUCGAAAUGAAUAAAAUGUUCCUAACUAGAUGGGUUAUGAAUGAUAUAUGAAUGCAGAAAUGAAAAUGAUCUUCUUAAAAGGCUUAAGGUAACAUUGUUCGUUGUUCAUCAGAGCCUUAUCAUUGACGCAUUAUGUUGUCGUCUUGUUUAGCUGGUAUUCUUGAUAGAAAACCCAAAGAGACAUCCUCAAUCUGCUCAGUAAGCUUGCCCCACUUAAACUUUAUGGAGUUUUGCUUAUCCCACCCUCUGCAACUCAGGGUAUAGGAUUUGUCUCAUCUUCAAUUAAUUUGAUCUGUUACACCAUUCCCUGGGUGUAAUGACCCAUUGUAUAUGCUCGAUAUUUGCAUGAAUGCAGAGUGUCAUUUUUCUUUUCUCAAGAAUGAUCCACUUUUUACACUUAGGUUGACAUCGCUCGUCAUUUGUCGAUGUUGUAUCACUGACGAAAUAUCUUGUCUCUUCGUUCGACUGAUAUCUUUGACAGAGAAUUCGAAGAGAUAGUCGCAAUUUAGAAACAUCUUCAACCCUUAGGCUUGGUGAGUUCCAAUGGUGAGUUCCAAAUGAUGGUCCUGUUUCAGGUUCUUGUACUGUUUAGAAGCUUCUAGAAUAAUAUGCAGCACCCCUUUUGCGAAGGUAUUAUUAGUCCAUUCGUCGUUAUUUCAAUGCAAAAUGCUUGAAAAGAUUAAAAUAAUGGACAAGAAGGAAAUUGAUUAAGAGCGUAGCUUGAAAUAAAUUAAUCAAAGAUUGCAAAUGCAAUAAGAAGAAAAUUUUCUCAACAUGAAUAAGUUAAUCAAAGAUAGCAAUGCAAUAAGAAGGAAAUUUAUUGAUAAGUAUCUUGAAAAGAGUAAGACAAUCAAAGAUAACAAAUUCAAAAUGGGCAAGAUAGAAAUUGAGUGUCCUAGAUAUCGCAGCUUGAGCUUCUUUCUACCAAUUUCUUGAGGACCUUUCUAAGCUCAAUAUGUGUUUAGGGGAUCCGGAGUACUUUGUCGAUGCUCCGAGAUGUAGCAUACUUCUUCAUUGUUAAUUCAAGCGUAGCAAGACUAUUGCGUGCCUCACUUUGAUCUGAAUUUGAGCCGCCCUUUUCGAGUUUUCAACUCAAAUCUCCUUUGGUCUCAAGGCGCCCUUUGUGAGUUUUCACCUUGGCAUCUCCUUUUUUUUUUGAAAGUCUCAAAGUGUCUUUUACAGGUUUUCGCCUUGGCCACCCAUUUUCUAAGUGAAAUACUUCUUGACGAAAUCUGAAUUCAUCGAUUUGGGCAAGUCUUUGCCAUCCAUUUCGGUCAAUAUUAAUGCCCCUCUAAAAUAGGCUUUUUUUACUACGUAAGGUCCUUUGGCAUCCACUUUACUCUAAAGUCCUCUUGUAUAGGAAGGAUCUUCUUCAAUAUCAAGUUCUCCUAAUAGAAUUCUCUAGGAUGAACCUCUUCAUCGUAAGCUUACAUCGUUCAUUGGACCAUGACAGAUGGCUUUCAACCUCCUUUCUUCAAAUUUAACUAAUCGUAUCAGGAUUGGAUCCGUUUUCCCUUAUCCAAUUUCAAUUCAAACAAGACUCAGAGACAAAGAAUCUCUUUUUCAAAACCGUUUUUUAUCCCAUAGACUGAUGAAAUGUGCCGCCCAUGGCGAAGGUCCUAGCCACUUUUCGAUAAGCAUAGAAGGUAAAUGGUGACUUCUUAUGCCAAUCUUUACAAGUCUCGUUCAUCUUCCCCAUGAUCUUUAAUUUGUUUGUUGGGUUCCUCUCUUCUUCUUCUUCUUCUUCUUCUUCUUCUUCUUCUUCUUCUUCUUUUUACCUUUGCCUUUGCCUUUGCCUUUGCAAUAUAGCGCCUAAUCUUUGAACAGACUGAAAACUUUUGACAUUGUACAGUUGUGUUAGGCACGAAAUUUUUGACAUUCUUUUUUUGACACCCUUUUCUAGAAUUUGAUGACUUUCGUCUUAGUGACAUUGGCAUAUGAAACAACUUUCACCCUUUUUGUGGAAUAAUCGACGACCCUGAAGAUGAAUCUUUGACGGUUAGAAUUUUUCAAAAAGAUCGGCCCAUAAUAUCCAUGCCCCACAUAUAGAAAAUCUGUGAAGAAAUUGAGGAGGCAUAAAAGUCUUGUAUUUUGUUUGGCAUUCACAGCUUGACUGAUACAAUCCCCUUCCAUGUCGGAUCAACAGCCCCCGGAACUUAUGAUUAACCUGGCUAACGUAAAACCAUUAGCAUGUGUCCUUUUGAUACUGAUAUAGGCCCUUUUAGCAUCCAUAGGCCUUAGUAGCCCAGGCAUAUCUUGAUACGAUCAUGUGAGAACAUCUUCGACUUCUUGGAAUGACUCAAUGAUGUCUUGUUUUGUCUUUGUGGUGAUGCUGACUCUAAUGUUUUCCUCUUUCUCUUGUCUUAGGCUUGCUGACCACUGACUUUUUGUAAAGUAGGAUCCCCUUUUUUAAUCUUAUUCUACCGUCCUUAACAAAUCAAGAGAUAGGCUACGUCUCCGUCAUCUUCAAGGUUCUGAGAUCCCUCUAGACACAUACCUUACUCAGAAAGAGACUUGGAGUCGGUGACAGCGUCGCUCCCAUCAUUGAUAUCUGAAAACUUGUUAUAAGUACGAAGGCAGAUUCCAAAGAAUAAAUGAUUCUAAGGAUGAUUAUUUGUAUGGUAUGAUCAUGAAUGAAAGAAUCUAAGAAUAAUCGUUUGUACAGUAUGAGAAUAAAAGAAUAAAAGAAUGGUAAUAACAAUUUCAUUGAAAUAAGGAUUUUGGAUAUAAGCCUAUUUCACAAAAGGAUUCUUGUUGCUUCUAGGCUUAAAACAACAAGUGUGUUUUGAACAUUAUUCUAGAUUAGUUCUAAAAAUACAAGAAUCUUUCACGGUCCCAUCGUUUAAAACACCCUAAGUACGAAAGGGUAGAAGCUUGGAAAAGUCUACUCCUGUGCUCCCUUUUCUGAUACGUCAUUAAUGUUCGGAUUCCCCGAUACCAAGUCCAGCAUUAGAGUCCUAAGCUCGAUGCACCCUUAGAUCUCAUGCCCCUAUUCAGCAUGGAACUCAUAAUGUCCCCCUCUUUAACAGAAAGGUUGGAUAACAGAUUUUCUACUCCAGAGGGAUCAUCGAACUUCACGAUACCCAAUUUGAUAAACCUUUCGAUUAGCUUUUUUAAAGCAGUACAGUUCUCGAUGGAAUGUCCCGUGAUUUCUGAAUGGUAUUCACACUGGCCGUUUGCAUCGUACCAUUUAGGGUAUGGAGGCUGUAUUGGUUCUAUGUAAAAAGGGGAUACAACAUGUGCAUCGAAUAGAAUGCGGUACAACUCCCUGCACGUGAUUGGGAUGGGCAUGAAUUGGGUUUUUUCUGAGUUUGGUCUGUGAUUAGGUUCUUGCCUUAGUGAGGCCCGAUGGCUGGUAGUUACCGUCUUUGGCUGGCUUACUAUAAUCGACUCUGAACGACCCAUGUCAUAUCUACUCAUACUAUUUGCUUUCCUUUCCUUCCUCUUCGGGGCCUUUAAAGUCCACUCUCUCCUUUCCUUUAUUUUUGCUAGAACGAUCGGUUUGGCUUGAUCAUCUUCUGGACUAGAACCUGAACCCAUCGAGAAGCUCAAUAGUGCCGAUGUAUCCGUCUGAGAUUGGUGUCCAGUAAUAAUGGGUAUCCUUUGCAUGUCUGGUUGGGUCAGGACACUUGUUGGUUUAAAACUUGGGGAAUAGACAAUCUCUUCAUUAUCAUCCUCACUAUUGACUACUGGGCCACUCCUUUUUUCAAAUUCUCUGGCCAGUAACUGGGUUAACUGGCCCAUCAUGUUUCUUUGGAGUUCUAGGAUUUGUUCUCGUAUAUCUUGUUGAAUUCUGAUCAAUUGCUCUUGCAUCUGUAUUUGCCUUUGCUCUAUUCUCUCCAACCUUUGGUCCAUAUCUUUUGUCGGUUCUAUAAUUUUACGUAAUUAGGGCCCUUUAGUGAAAGUUUAAUGCAAAUGAUGCAAUGCAAUGCAAAUGCAUGGCAUGAAUGCAAUGGAAAGAAAGAUGUUGAUUAAAUUCCCUUAGAACAACUUUUCUAGAUAACAAAUUCUUUUACAUAAAAUGGAUUAUGUAUACGGCCUUGCUUUCAUAUUCUGGGUGAAGACACUGAUCCCAUUUCCUCGUGAAAGUCUGAUCUAGCAAGCUUUUGAUAAAUGCCUCUACUGGCUCCUUUUGUUUGAUUCAAGCCACCAUUUACUAUCCUUGCAAUGUUGAUUAGCUCCUUUAGGAAAGUCGGGACGCGACGGCCUUUGAAUAAUCUUUGUCAGCUUGAACCCUUAGGUAAAGUCUUGUUUUCUUCUACGAACUGUUAGCCUUCUUCUAUCGUGUUCACUUGGACCCCACUCGGACAACCGUAUUGUAAUUCACUUUAUUAAGAAAUUCGUUUUCUUAUGACAAACUGUUCUAUUUGGAAAUCGAAUAUUAAUCAACAUCUCCUUUCUAUGCUGAUGUAAUGCAAUGCAGUCAUAAAUAAACAAACACAAAACAUGUUAGUACAGAAAUAAGUAACAAAUAAAGUACCUAUUCGGGUAAUCACUAGGGGUUCAGAGUGGCUCUACCUAGGGUAAGCUCUUAGGUCUCUAUAUGUGGCUCGGUUCUAGAGUAAAGGUACCUGAACCAGUAGAUUCCUCGAUCCUCAACCAUUAUAGGCUCAUAUGGAUCGAGUUCGGUUCAGGGGGAUACAUUUCCUUAUGACCAUGCGGAGAUGAAAAUCUCACGAAAUCAUAAGUACGGAUGUACCCCGGAAGCAAUCGACUAGCCCAUGCGGAGGUGAAAACCUCACGAAAGCAUAGUUUCUUACUCCCACUUAGAAGGUGUGACCACAACGGUCAUGCAAUGCCAUGUACGAGGAUAUAUGUAUAAGGAAAACUUAAAGUAAUAAGGAAAACGAGAAAAAAUAAUGGAAACCGUAAGAAAAACGGAUGAAAUGCAAUGAAGGGAUUGUAAAUUUAGAACGAGAAAUAAAUUUUCAAUUUUUGACAAAGGACAAAAAUUAAUCAAUUUAUGGCUCGACUCUCGAACUCCCCAGUGGAGUCGCCAAGCUGUCGAAACCUUUUUUUUGUUGAAAACGAGGAUCGACUUUUUGAAAAGCAAAAAAUGAAGUCGCCACCGACCUUUUUUGAGGUGUAAUCGGAUCACCUUGAAGUAAAUCAUUUUAAUAAAAUAAUAAUUUUAGGUCUACGAAAAUUGAGAGAAAGGGUUCGGGAGUCAGUUAUGAACGAGGAAGGGUUAGCACCCCCGUAACGCCCAAAAUUGGUACCAAACCGAUUAAAUAUCUGUCCUUGUGUCUAAGAUUUAAAAUGCUUUUGAAAUGUGGUUCUUUUUUAUUACAUUUGAGUGACCCGAGUUGGUAUUCAAGAUCUUCUCAUUUCAGAGGAAUAUAGUAUCACAUCUAACACGGUAGGACACGAUCCUUUAUACGCUCGAAAACAUAACAGAUUUCGACUUCCAAAAGUUUAUAAUUCGUAAAUUACAAAAGGAUGCUCAACUAUUUAGUCUAACGAAAAAUCGAAACCCAGCACAGUAGGGCACGACUCCUCGAAUUUCCAAAUAUUCGAGCAUUGCUUUGUUUUAGAAAAUGCGAGUGAAACUGAAAAGGGAUAUUCGAUUAUUUGGGACAAAUAGGAUAUCGCAACCCAACACGAUAGGGUACUAUUCCCGAAUUGCUAAACAUCAAAUAUUUCCUUUGUUUUAAAAAGUUUUUAGAAAACAUGAAUGAAAUUCUAAAGAAGUAUUCGAUUAUUUAGAGCAAACGAGAAAUUGCAACGCAGCACGGUAGGGCACGAUUCCUCGAAUUGCUAAAAAUCGAACAUCACCUUCGUUUUAAGAAAUUGUGAAACUAGCUUAAAACAUAUUAAUUUGAUUUGAAAUAAAACGAGAGUAACCGCCAAAUUUGGACUUUAUAAAACCGAAAAGUUAAAAAAUGUAAAGCAACGUUUGCAAACGAAAACUGAAGUUAUAGACAUGGGGUAAGAUGCACAAAUAAAACACUACGCUUGAUGAAUAAAAAAUGGUAUAAACUUAGGGAACCAAUUGACAAAACCAACAAUAAAAUAUAACUAAUCCGCGAACAAUAUGACCAAAUUUAUAAGCAUGAAUGAACAACAAAUGAUUCAAUAAUACAUAGAAACGUGUAAACAUGAUGUAGCAAAUAUAUACGAAAUAACAUGAAGGUAAUUAAUACAUGAGACACCAAUCAAUAUAAAACCAAUAUGAUACGAAAAUAAUUGUUAAAAAUGGUGGAUUGAUGAGCAAACAACACAUACUAAAAUUUUAAAAAGAAAAAAGAAAAAAAAUUUUAAUAAGAAUAUAUAUAUUUUUUCAAAUAGAUGUGGCAAAAAAGAAGACAUUUGAAUCAAAUAAUAUGCAAAAUGUUUUAACAAAAUUCAUUCAUUUAAAGUUGACACUAUAUACAAUAAAGGAAAAUUUAAAUAAUACACAAAAUUUGAAGGAAUAGUAAAUAUGCAUAGUAAAACAUAAUAUUGGGAAAUAGAUUAUAUACCUAAUAGGUUCAAGGAAACAUAUAUAUGUAUACAAAUAAUUUAAAAGCAACUACCUUAAGAGAAGUAACAUGGAAUUAAAUAUGUAUAUAAGAUCAAGCUAAUUUUACUAUGAAUCAUAUAUAUACGAAUAUAUAAAAAAACAUUUGGAUGGUGUAUUACACAGAAUAUUAAAAUAACACAAGUAAUGAUUUUAUAACAUCAAAGUAAAGUCAUUAAAAAUAACUCCAUACAUAACAAAGGGAGUGAAUCCGGAAAUAAUGAAUAGAAAGCUCAAUUAAACUAAUAUAUGUGCAAGUAUAUAUUAAAAAUAUUUAAAUCAUAAAACGUUAAGAUAAUGUAAUAUAAAAAGCUUCAAAAUCAUGAUUAUAUAAAGUAAAGGUACCAAAAUAUAUAUGAAUAAUAAUGAUAAUAGGUUUAAAAAUAAAACAUAAAAAUAUAUACGAUUAAAUAUAUUUUUCUUUAAUAUACAAAAAAGUGAUAAAUACGAAUAGGCUAUAAUAAAAUGAUGGAUAAUAAGGUAAUAAUAAUAAUAGGAAUAUAAAUAAAACAAAACAUAGUAAAUAAAUAUAUGCAAGGAUUAAAAAUAGAUAAAAUGACAAUAUGUGAAUGAGAAAGUAAAUGCUUAAAUGAAUAAAAUAAAAGAAUAAUGAAUAACUAAGCAAAUAAGUAAUUAAGAAGACAAAUACAUGAAAUAAAGGGCUUGACUGAAAACUUGAAGGAAUUUAAAGAACAAAAAAUGGAAUAUAAUGAAAUAGGGGACCAAACUGUAACACACGAGUGAAACAGAGGGUUCGAAAGGGCAAAUAUCCCUACGCUCUUAAACGCCACGUUUUAUGCAGGACUAAAAAGAGAUACAAGUAGAGUUCUGAGCCAAAAUUAAAAGAAGAAGAAGGAAUAAAAGGACCCAAUCGAAACAGAUCGAAGAAGUGGAAGGACCGAUUUUACAAAUAACCCAUAAGGCGUGAAAACACGCGAGUUAUGGCCUCCAUCGGGUCGAAUCUCUACGGGUUAAGGUGAAACGGCGCCGUUUUGGCACUCGAAAUCCAUGCCCAAAACGAUGCCGUAUGGGAUCAUUAUAUAAACCAAAUUUUUGUUAAAAAUUUUAUUUUUACUUCUUCCCAAAAAAAACCUAAACUCUCUUCCUCUCAGCCCCUUUAGGAUCUGGCCUAGCUCCGGUCAAUGGCCGUCGUGCCGACCGUAGGCCACCGGCAACGGCGCCGCCGUGCGCGGUGGCCGUGGAGCUCAAAACUCCCUCCUCUGAACCCCUUUUCACGUAGAAGAAGAUUUAGGACCUAGAAAACCAUAAACUAAACCCCAAAACCCUUUAAAAUAGCAAAAAAAAGUUCUGACUUUUGGCUUCCUCCGUCGAAGCUUUGACCGGAUCUUUAGGGAUCCAUCAGCCUUCGGACCAGAGAAGCGUGUGCCGAGGGUAUCAACGCCGAAAAUAGGUAAAAACUUUUCCUUUUGUAUAUCUUUAUACCAUAGAUUCGAAAUAAAAAAGAAUAAAUAACUAAGAUAAAAAAAAUGAAAC
rnacentral:lncRNA from 1 species